rnacentral:rRNA from 1 species
CAGUAACGGCGAGUGAAGCGGCAACAGCUCAAAUUUGAAAUCUGGCCCCGUCGGGGUCCGAGUUGUAAUUUGUAGAGAGUGUUUCGGGUGACACCACGGUCUAAGUCUAUUGGAACAUGGCGUCAUAGAGGGUGAGAAUCCCGUAUGUGACCGUGGCUCGAGCCCAUGUGAAGCCUCUUCGACGAGUCGAGUUGUUUGGGAAUGCAGCUCAAAAUGGGUGGUAAAUUUCAUCUAAAGCUAAAUACUGGCUGGAGACCGAUAGCGCACAAGUAGAGUGAUCGAAAGAUGAAAAGCACUUUGGAAAGAGAGUCAAAAAGUACGUGAAAUUGUUGAAAGGGAAGCGCUUGCAACCAGACCUGUCCGUAGGUGAUCAGCCGCUGUUCUCAGCGGUGCACUCGCUCUGCGAUCAGGCCAGCAUCGGUUUCGGCGGUCGGAUAAAGGCCUUGGGAAUGUAGCUUCCUUCGGGGAGUCUUAUAGCCCUCGGUGCAAUGCGGCCAGCCGGGACCGAGGACCGCGCUUCGGCUAGGAUGCUGGCGUAAUGGUUGUAAGCGACCCGUCUUGAAACACGGACCAAGGAGUCUAACAUCUAUGCGAGUGUUUGGGUGUCAAACCCAUGCGCGGAAUGAAAGUGAACGGAGGUGAGAACCCUUUAGGGCGCAUCAUCGACCGAUCCAGAUGUCUUCGGAUGGAUUUGAGUAUGAGCAUAGCUGUUGGGACCCGAAAGAUGGUGAACUAUGCCUGAAUAGGGUGAAGCCAGAGGAAACUCUGGUGGAGGCUCGCAGCGGUUCUGACGUGCAAAUCGAUCGUCAAAUUUGGGU